rnacentral:rRNA from 1 species
UGGGGAAUAUUGCACAAUGGGCGCAAGCCUGAUGCAGCCAUGCCGCGUGUGUGAAGAAGGCCUUCGGGUUGUAAAGCACUUUCAGCGAGGAGGAAGGGUAGUGUGUUAAUAGCACAUUGCAUUGACGUUACUCGCAGAAGAAGCACCGGCUAACUCCGUGCCAGCAGCCGCGGUAAUACGGAGGGUGCAAGCGUUAAUCGGAAUUACUGGGCGUAAAGCGCACGCAGGCGGUUUGUUAAGUCAGAUGUGAAAUCCCCGCGCUUAACGUGGGAACUG